CAGGGAGACAACAAAAUGUUUAAUAUUAUUAUUUUGUCACCUUAGGUCGAUCGGUAUCUCACGUUCUUAAUUUGUUAAGAAUUUCAUUUCCUAAGUUUUUCUAGGUCACACCCAUUAUUUUUCCUGGGCCAUUAGCUCAGGUGGUUAGAGCGCACCCCUGAUAAGGGUGAGGUCCCUGGUUCAAGUCCAGGAUGGCCCAUAUCUCUAUGUUGGGGGUAUAGCUCAGUUGGUAGAGCGCCUGCUUUGCAAGCAGGAUGUCAGCGGUUCGAGUCCGCUUACCUCCACUGAUUACCACCUCUUACAUAACUGGUAAAAAGGAAAUGUUUUGAGUUGUGAUCAUUAUUCUGAACGAAUCUAGCUUCCUAAUGAAAUCAUUAAGAUGCUGGACUCAUUGAAUUAAUUUCAUUGUUUUCAGAGAACCUUGACAACUGCAUAGAUUAUUUUUAAAGACAAUAAGCAUCUUUAAUGAUGCAGAUUUAUUAUUUUUGCGAAUGCAUUAAUAACAAUUCUAUUAAGCUGAUGCUUCAAUUUUUUGAAGUUAUU
rnacentral:tRNA from 1 species